rnacentral:rRNA from 1 species
UACGUAGGGGGCUAGCGUUGUCCGGAAUCAUUGGGCGUAAAGCGCGCGUAGGCGGCCCGGUAAGUCCGUUGUAAAAGUCAAAGGCUCAACCUUUGAAAGCCGAUGGAUACUGCCGGGCUAGAGUCCGGAAGAGGCGAGUGGAAUUCCUGGUGUAGCGGUGGAAUGCGCAGAUAUCAGGAGGAACACCGAUAGCGAAGGCAGCUUGCUGGGACGGUACUGACGCUGAGGCGCGAAAGCGUGGGGAGCGAACAGG